rnacentral:lncRNA from 1 species
UAUUUAAUAGCGUGUCAUAAAUGCUAUUACUUAUAUUAAAAUUCUUUAUUUUAAAAAUUAUUUAUGGAAAUUUAAUUGUUUAAAAAUAAAAAACAUAAUUAAAAUUUAAACUGGUUUAUAUAUUUAAAAACUUGUUUAUUAUUUAAACUGAUUUAUAAUAAAACUGGUUUACAAAAAGAAUAUGGUAUACACAUUAGAAAAUAAAUCAAAACUAAACCAAAAAACUAAAACCAAGAUUUAACCUAAACCUAUUUACUAACUAAAACUAAUAUAGUAACGACCUCUGGCUGCUUCCGCGUCUUCGUGCCUCCGCCUC